AGUGAACGCUGGCGGUAGGCCUAACACAUGCAAGUCGAACGGCAGCACAGUAAGAGCUUGCUCUUACGGGUGGCGAGUGGCGGACGGGUGAGGAAUACAUCGGAAUCUGCUUUUUCGUGGGGGAUAACGUAGGGAAACUUACGCUAAUACCGCAUACGACCUACGGGUGAAAGCAGGGGAUCUUCGGACCUUGCGCGAUUGAAUGAGCCGAUGUCGGAUUAGCUAGUUGGCGGGGUAAAGGCCCACCAAGGCGACGAUCCGUAGCUGGUCUGAGAGGAUGAUCAGCCACACUGGAACUGAGACACGGUCCAGACUCCUACGGGAGGCAGCAGUGGGGAAUAUUGGACAAUGGGCGCAAGCCUGAUCCAGCCAUACCGCGUGGGUGAAGAAGGCCUUCGGGUUGUAAAGCCCUUUUGUUGGUAAAGAAAAGCAGCAGGUUAAUACCCCGCUGUUCUGACGGUACCCAAAGAAUAAGCACCGGCUAACUUCGUG
rnacentral:rRNA from 1 species